rnacentral:rRNA from 1 species
UAAUGGUAAACUAACGCAAGGUCGGGCGGUAACAGGGAAGCUUGCUUCUCUGCUGACGAGCGGCGGACGGGUGAGUAAUGUAUGGGGAUCUGCCUGAUGGCGGGGGAUAACUACUGGAAACGGUAGCUAAUACCGCAUAAUGUCUUCGGACCAAAGCGGGGGACCUCCGGGCCUCGCGCCAUCAGAUGAACCCAUAUGGGAUUAGCUAGUAGGUGAGGUAACGGCUUACCUAGGCGACGAUCCCUAGCUGGUCUGAGAGGAUGAUCAGCCACACUGGGACUGAGACACGGCCCAGACUCCUACGGGAGGCAGCAGUGGGGAAUAUUGCACAAUGGGCGCAAGCCUGAUGCAGCCAUGCCGCGUGUAUGAAGAAGGCCUUCGGGUUGUAAAGUACUUUCAGUCGGGAGGAAGGUGGCAAGGUUAAUAACCUUGGCAAUUGACGUUACCGACAGAAGAAGCACCGGCUAACUCCGUGCCAGCAGCCGCGGUA